rnacentral:rRNA from 1 species
CCUACGGGAGGCAGCAGUAGGGAAUAUUGCUCAAUGGGGGAAACCCUGAAGCAGCAACGCCGCGUGGAGGAUGAAUGUUUUAGGAUUGUAAACUCCUUUUGUGAGAGAAGAUAAUGACGGUAUCUCACGAAUAAGCACUGGCCAACUCCGUGCCAGCAGCCGCGGUAAUACGGAGGGUGCAAGCGUUAGUCGGAAUCACUGGGCGUAAAGAGUGCGCAGGCGGGCUUGUAAGUCAGAUGUGAAAUCCUGUAGCUUAACUACAGAACUGCAUUUGAAACUAUGAGUCUAGAGUGUGGGAGAGGUAGGUGGAAUUCUUGGUGUAGGGGUAAAAUGCGUAGAUAUCAAGAGGAAUACUCAUUGCGAAGGCGACCUACUGGAACAUUACUGACGCUCAUGCACGAAAGCGUGGGGAGCAAACAGGAUUAGAUACCCUAGUAGUC